GCCACGCUAUAGCAGCACGUAAAUAUUGGUGUGAGAAUAGACCCCAACCCCAAUAUUAGCUGUGCUGCUUCAGUGUGGC
rfam:Salmo salar isolate Sally breed double haploid chromosome ssa20, whole genome shotgun sequence.